UUAGGGGACUUUAACAAAAAGUUAUAUGCUCCGGAAAAAGAGGGUAGAAAUGUGAGACCAAACGCAACGAUGAAAGGUUUCCGAGACCGCCUUACAAAGUGUGGGUUGGAAGAUACAGGCUUUAUCGGUGAUCCAUUUACUUGGAGAAGAGGUGAUAUCAUGGAAAGACUAGACCGAGUUGUUUGCAAUCUGGAGGAAAUGAAAGAAAAUCCUCACGCGGUGGUUAUAAAUGAGGAACACGUACAUUAUGAUCACCGUCCGUUAAUUUUAGAUAUGAAUUAUUUGAUAGUAAUAUGUUCAGUUGUUCAAAGGACCGUGUAA
rnacentral:rRNA from 1 species